rnacentral:rRNA from 1 species
UACGUACGACCCAAGCGUUAUUCGGAAUCACUGGGCUUAAAGAGUCCGUAGGCGGUCAGGAAAGUUGGGUGUGAAAUACCUCAGCUCAACUGAGGAAUUGCGCUCAAAACUACCUGGCUCGAGAAAGACAGAGGUGAGCGGAACUGAUGGUGGAGCGGUGAAAUGCAUUGAUAUCGGAAGGAACGCCGGUGGCGAAAGCGACACACUGGACCGCUUCUGACGCUGAGGCGCGAAAGCCAGGGGAGCAAACGGG